AAGUAAAUGGUCCCAACAGCCAACAUUUCGCUGUCUAAAUUUAAAAAAUUGACCUUACUUAUUAAUGUGCAUAUCCACUACUUGCUAUUCUGUUUUCCUUAUCUUGUUCUUCUUCUUGUAGGACACAAAUGACAAAAUUAUAUAUAAAUCAUUCUGCUUCGGUAGCCACAAGGGUAUUCCCAUUGAAGCACCACAAAUAUGCCUUCUAUUUGAGUGUUGGAAAUGUCACAGUUCAUCUGCCUAUUGGAAGAACAAAGGUAGAUUUUCAAGUAUUGAAGAGCAAAUACUAGAAAAGUGGUUUGAAGGCACUCACAUAUGUGGAUUGUGGAGUAUGAAUUUGCUUCCAUGAUAGUGGCCAAAAACUUUGUGGUCACUGUUCUGAUUAGUACACAAUGCAAUUAUGAAUUCCAAGAUCAAUCACGUAGCAUUCUUCAUUGACGUCGGCGUUGUAUGAGCAAGGCUAGGCCAGAAGAGCACGGUGAGGUCCAAUCGUCAUUCGUAAGGAGUAUCAUUUGGGUAAAUAGGAGGCAAUAAAUAUCUUCAUGCCCACUACGUUUGCUAAAUCCGAGAGUCCGAGCUAGUGCCAUAACAAUCAAUGUUAUGUUAUGUGCACUGAUAUUAUAUAGCAGUAGAAUAAAUUUCUUUCCGUUUCGCAUUACUGACAUAAUUGUGUGAAAUUUCUUUUCGUUUUACAAAUUGACAGGCUUAAAGUUUGUGAAAAAAAAAUAUAAGAUUUAGACCCAUUUAUUUGUGAACAAGAAAAAAGAUCUCACAUAAUUGUGUCAGUUAUGUGAAGCAUAAAAUAAACUUAUUACAAUAGUAAUGUCUUUACACUAGUUUCUUAUGUUAAUCAUAAAAAGUUAUUUUUAAAAUUUUGAGUUAUUUUUAAAAUUUUGACACACUUACUAAAAAGUAGGAAACUUAUGUGACAAUCUAGUGUGAAAAUUAUCAUCGCCUUGGAAUUUGGGUAGCUAAAUAAAAAUGAACCAGUUUAUGUUGCAAGCUUUACCAGUCCUGUCAAUCAAGAGGUGUGGCGAGAUAGGUACGUUCACUCAAUUCUUAACUAGUUAUCUUGAACUUGAACCAUUAGAAUAUCUUCUGGUAGGAAUCAUUCUUACUUUAAUAUGAGUCAUAUACGAUGCAAAUCUGGUUUAAUAGUAAAUUUAUGAGUUUGUAGUGGAUCCAACUAGCAGUAUUUGAGACAAAUUUAGGAGCCGAGUAACUUAUGUCAAAUUCAGACGUGGAAAGGGAUAGUCAAUGUCCUAUCUCCUUUUCACAAAACAAAAAGCAAAAUAAAAUAAAAUAGUUGGCUUUAGUUUGAAGUGAAGGGAGUAAGAAAAGGAUUUUCUUGAUUGAGAAAGAAAACUAUUAGGGGUUGUUUGGUGCAUGGUAUAGACUGAAAUAUCCUAAGGGUGGAUAUUAUACCUUAUUAAGAUGGGAUAAAAUAAUCCCAAGAAGUGAAAUAAAUUAGUCUCAAAAUUAUAAUUCCGGAUAUAAUUUUGACACCACUUAUUAAAAAAAAAAGUUGGAGAAAACAAAGAUAGAUGGUGGGUCCCAAAUAGUUCCCAACUUUUAAGUGCCUAGAUUCAUUAUUGAUAAUAUUUCAUAUGUGGUCCAAUCAACAAAAUCGACUGUUAAGUAAAGGUCCAAAGUCUUGUCUUAGCAAUGUUGUAUUCAUUGUCUUUAUUCCUUUAAAAUUUACGUGUCAAAUUUGUUCAACACUCUUUCUUGGUAUAUUACUAGGUGAUAGUGAUUGUAUAGGUGGACUAGUGGAUCUAUAAUGCAUUAUCUAUAAGGUGUUCAAGGCAAUAUAUAAUAUCACACAAUUAAGUAGAUCUUCAUUAUUAGGUGUUUGCCCUAAUUGUUUUUUUAUCAUAUUUUGAUCUUCAUUUUACUUGAAGGAAGGACAAAAUAUUUACUAUAAUUAAUUUAAUUUAUUCUAAAAGAAAAAUAUAAGGUUCUUCAUAUUUGGAUUAUUUUUCUUUUUGGAGAAAAAUAUUUUCCACUAUAAAUUGAGGAUUUUGUUCUCUCACUUUACAAUAUUUGUAAUGUAGUCCUUUAGUACUGGAGAGUCUUGUUUUGAGGGAGAAUUUUUUCCUAUAUUUCUGUACCUUUUUUAUAUUAGUGAAUUGUUCAUAUGUAGGUCAAUUGAUCAAAAUUAUAUAAAAAAUUCAUGAGGUCUCUUUUGGUAUAUUUUUCUUUACCAUCUUAUUUAUCAUCGUCUAAACUUUGUUAGCUCCCGCAUGACACUUGGCGAUUUCGAUCACAACAUCCAAACAACAAUAACAACAUACCUCGUGUAAACCCACAAGUGGGGGAUCACGACAUCCAUCUCAUAUAAUUUAUGGGUUUGGAUAGUUUCAAAUUUAUAUAUAGAGAGAUUUUAAAAUACUUUAUAUUUAUAUUUAGAUUAACACUAUUUAUCUAUAUUAAUAUAAUAUAUCAUACUCAUCAUAGUAGAAUUCCACAUCCACUGACCUUACUGCUGAGUUGGCUUUUGGGGUACGGUCCAGCACAUGUGGAUGAUUCAGCAAUAAUGUAAAGGUCUCAACAGCAAUUAAGUUGACCCUUAGCUGAUAUAGAUACCUAAAAUUAUUCUACUACUACUACUUCUAAAAACCAAUAUAAUGGCAAAAGGUAUAAAUACACAAUCUUGAAAUACUCUCUUGAAGCCCUGAUAAAAAAGCCUUCUAUUUUUUCGCUAUACUAUGGAACUCUCAAGUGUAUUUCCAUUUUGGAGAAAAAAGGAAUGAUUUCACCAAGAGAAUGGAGUUCAUUAAUUAUGGAGGUGAAUCUGGUAUGCAUUUCAUGAAUGGAUUCACCAUCCUUCAUCUUAAAGAGUUCGUACUCAGUGAUUAGCAUAACGAGAUGCGAUUGUACUCAUCAGCUCCAAUACCACACACAAGGAUUUUCUUGGCUCUGCAGUUCAUUUCAACAGCCUUCCGGUUAGUCUCAUUGUUAUAUCCCGUAUUUUAUACAUUCGGAUAUUUCUAGGUGGUCGUGGUAAGUUAAAGGCAAGACUAUCUUCCAAAAUUAUUUUAAUGUACAAGUUGUUAUGAAUAUUAUUUAUGAAUAUUAUUAGUGCGAAAAUAUUGAGAAAGGCUAAGGGUAAAAAGGGAAAUUCACAAAAUGGUUCAUGGUAAAAUUGUGGAAGGUUAUGGGCAAAAUGGGAAUUUCACCCAAAAUUCAAGAAAAUUCUUGAAUAGCCCAUUUUGGCCAUGUGGCCGUCCAAGCCAAGGUGGGCUUGUCCCACAUGGGUGAAUUAUAUGUAUGUAUAUAUAUAUGACAUAUUAGUCAUAUUUCACACACCAAAUUCUAGAACUUUGAAGAAAAAGAAAAGGAGAAGAAGAAAGAAGAGCAAGGGUCGGCCAUGGCUCCCAAAAUUUAGCCAUGGAAAAUUGACCAAGAAAAAUUAUUUUCUUCUAGCUUCUCUACCAAUUUGAACGCCCUUAACAACAUGGAGUGGUUGUUAGAACAAGCAAAGUAUUCAUUUGGGCAACUUAUAAGUCUAGCCGAAUGAAGGAGCUAAGUGAAAAGGUAUGUGUUCAACUCUCUUUUACUUGUGUUAUGGAUGAUUUAUGUAUGUUGGAGUGUGUAAAAAGGGAUUAAAUUCAUGAAAUAUGUGUGUAUAGGUGUUGGCCGAAUGGAAGUGGUGCGGUAUAGAAGUGAUGAAUUAAUUUUAUUUAGUGGUUUGAUUGUUGUGUUGUGGAUUCCAUGAUGUAAAAUGAAUGAAAACCAUGAAUUUAGUGUGUUGGAGUGGUGGUCGUGUGGUGUGAAGCUUGGCCGUGUGUGUGUGUUGUGUUGUAUAGGAUGAUGAAUUAAUUUUGUCUAGUAUUUUUGAUUGAUGUGGUAAUGAAUUCUAUAAUGAAAAUGAAAGUUUAAUGAUUUUAGUGAAGUUCAUAAAUUUGGAAGAAAGUAAUGUGUGGUUGUCUUUGAUGGUGUUGUGAGAUUUCGGGUGGAAGUGUGCAUUAAUUGGGUUGUUUGAAUAUUGUGUGAAUUGAUUAAAGUGUUCUCGAAUCAUGUAGAAUGUAUUUUGGAAAUAAUUGUUGAAGUUGGAGAUAUGAUUGUUGGUAUUAUUGUUGAUACUUUGGCCGAGUUGAAUUCUCGGGUUUGUUGUUGUUAAAAUUGGCCGAGUUAGAUUCUCGGGGAUGGUGUAUUUACAGGGGAAAUGCUGCCAAAAUUUCGGUAGAUUAUAAAGUGAAUUUAUGUGAGAAACUAAGGCAAGUGUAUGACGACGAAUCUAACGAUUAUGUGAAUUCUUUUGAAUGUAGACUAGCAAGCUUGGAUAAGUAAGCGUAGCUAAUAGGACGUGGAGCAGGUAUGUAAGGCUUGCCCUUUCUUUCUUUUGGCAUGAUCUUUGUGGAACCAACAUGACAAAGUAUAUGUAUGAUUUCAAAGAAACUCCCAUUCUUAGAGCCACUAGGAUGGCUAACGUUCUUGAUUUCCAUAAGCUGUUUCGUAUGGUUCUGAUGUUUACCCAUGAUGUCCGAAGUCCCGUUUGAUAUGUUUCCGAAUGAUAUUCGAAGGAUAAUUAAUAUGACUAAAGUUUUGAUUUCAAAUGAAAAUACGUUUGAUUAUUCCAUUAAGUCUUUGAUAUAUUUUGAUACAUAUAUAUAUGACUCCAAAGGCCCUAUUUGAUUCGAUCCAUAACGAUAUCCGAAAGGUACUUGACAUGAUUAUGACCUUGAUUUUCCAAAUGUCUUCGGAAACACUUAUAGAACGUUCUGUACUUCAAACGCUCGUAACUUUCUCAUACUAAGUCAGAUUGACCCGAAACUCGUUUCUGAGCUCUCAGAGGUCGGUAAGUAUACUUAUCCAUCGAGUCUGGAUUUAUGUGCAUUUAGUUUCUCACUACUCUGCUCGUGCAUGUGUCAUUACUUCUUUCGCCGAGUCCCGGGCCGGUAUACAUCGUGCGUAUGGUUCGCCGGGUCCCCGCUUGAGGGUCGGGUGCCAUAUAUGUAUUCCGGAGUUAGAUGUGUUACGGUGUUAUGAUGUGUUUAAGGUUCGCCGAACCAUAUAUGAUGUGAUAUAUGAUGUGAUAUUAUGAUGUGAUAUUACGAUGUGUGACGGAGAUUACGGAGCAAAACUUCUGGAGUUAGAUGUGUGUGGCGCCAAAGGCAGGGUGGCGCCACGUUUCCCCGGGUCUCGUAAGGGACCGAAUACCGUUCUUGGCAUGCAUGGUUUGUGUUUCCAGUAAGUGUUUUAUUACCUUGCAUAUCGUGUUUACUUUCUGUUCUAAUCUUCUGCACUAUUUAUCCUGCUUGUGAUUCUGUUCAUAUUACUCUAUGCUUUACAUGCUCAAUACAUAUUUCGUACUGACCCCCUUUCUUCGGGGGCUGCGUUUCAUGCCACGAAGGUACACCCAGAUGAUGUAGAAGGCCUUGCUAGGAGGUGUUUCAGCGAGAUUGGCGAACUCCACUUCUUUCCGGAGUGUUGCCGGGUCAGAGCGUAUAUAAGCUGUGAUUUCUGAUUGUGUUAGAGACUUUGCAGACAGAGUCGUGGGUACAGAACAUCAGUUUUGUAAGCGGCUUCAUCAGCUGAUGUGACAUUUUGUGAUAUGUUACAGAUUUUACAUGAUUACAGAUUUUGGUUUGAUUUGAGAACGAUAGAAAGAAAGUUUCUGAAAACCUUACUUUGUGUUUUACGAUUAUCUGAUUUGAAAGUUUGAAAAGAGUAUGUAUGUGUUGACACCCAAUUUUGUCCCUCCUUUAUUCUAAUUUUUUUCUUCGGGCUUCUAAAUUUAUUGACACGCUAAACACUUUCUUUUCACUAUUAUUAAUUUUCACUAUUUUACCAUCAACAUUACUAGCGUUACUUUAUCACAAUUUUCAAAAUAGUUUGUCAUCAUUUUAUUUUUAGAUUUUGUACUCAUUAAAUUUAUUAUACUUUAUCAAGUCCUUUAUUUUCUACAGAUUAAUCACUAAUUAUCAUAGUACUAGUUAUUAAAUUAGAAGCCCAAGAAAUAAUUAAUAAAGGAGGAAGAAUCAACAAUUUUUAGUCAAAUUAUUAGCCCACACUUUAAUUAAUUAGACCAGCCCAUUACACCAUCCAUUCUACUCGACCAGCCCACCAGUCGACCCAGCCCAACGCCUUACUCUACCCGACCCAGCCCAAUCAACAUUUCAUCUUCUAAACAAAAGAAAACCUAAUGGCAGCCGCAGCUCUCUUCUCUCUCGUUUCUCUCUACUCUCUCUCCCCUCCAUGUUUAGCAAGAACCAUUUCCCCUUUCAACCAUGGCAGAUUGCCACCCCAUUUUCGUGUAAUACUCUGCCGUCCUCUCGUCUCUCUCACCUCCCCUUUUCUCUCACCUCCAUUUCCAGUAAAAAACCAAAACGACUUUAGCCGCGAACAGCCCCUGUCUUUCCUUUUCCACGCAAAUUUUGUCUGAAAUGGAAAAGGUUUCACAUUUUCGUUUCAAGAUGCAACAAAUCUUCAAAAGACAGAAUGGUCGAACCAUUUUCGGAAAUACCGAAGCAAAUCACGUGAAUCAAGCCCCAACGUUCUGAUUUUGAAACAAAUUUGACUUAAAAUCCCGCCCAAUUCAAAAUCGAAACCCUAACCUUCUCCUAUAUAUACAUCGUUAUGUCCUCAGCCGAAAAAAAGAAAAGGGAACGAAUCCCUACUCUCUGAUCUUUUCUUAUUAUCGGGUUCGAUUCAUCGAAAAAAAAAGAAUCGAAAAGAAAAAGAAAAAAAGAUCCUUAGCAUUUUUUUUAACUAGCAGUCUAAACUUUAAGAUUGCUAAAAACAUCUCGUUCUGUCUCGGUGAACUUUAGCCGCGACUAAGAUAUUCGGUUUACGCAACUUUUAGUUUCGAAAUCGUUCGUCGUAUUCGAGAAUAGAUUCGAGGCUCCGUAUUCCUGUUCACUGCACCAACAAAAGGUCAGUGUAAUCCUUUUCUUCUUCUCUUUUUUAGUUUCGAUUCGAUUUUGAUUUGUAUCUGGGAUUCCUUGUUGGUAUGUGUAAAUGUUUUAGUCUCGAGAUGGUUCUCUGUUAAUGUUGUAUGCCCGCUGUCGUAGAACAAGAAGUUCGCUAUCUUUUGAUUAUGGUUGGUGCCUAUUUAGUAUACUUAGUGUUUUACUCGAAAAUAUGGCUUCCGACCUCUGAUUCAUUAAUAUAGAAAAGCACGAGAAUUUUUAGUCCAACUGCUCUUACGAACAUGAUUUUGCUGCUGUCCACAUCGGAAUAUAGAUUAAUGCUUUCUCUUCGCAUAUUUUAGAAUAGACGUAUUUGUUCGUGAAAACAAUGUUCUGUGUUCUAAGGCAAUGUGUCAGCAACAGGUUUAAGACUCACAUCCACCUUAUGCAUAUUUCAACCAUUACUUCAUUUUGGUUUGAGUAACUAUCUUAGUCUAAAAUGCAUGCUGUUACCUUUUCUUCAUGUCGUAUUAGAACACUGAUUUUGGGAGUGUAUUUUCAUAAAUCGAUUACUAAAUUGAAAAAAAAAAAAACGAAUGACACCGUGACUUAAGAUCUGUACAUGUACUUUAUAGGAAAUCGACGUAUGAAACUCUCUACUUGUAUUAUGCGUAGUUACUGAAAAUUUCCCUUUCCAUGACAGUAGGAAGUACUGGACGUCUGUUUGGUUUCGCUGUUCUAUAGCCAUUAUAGAACAUAUUCUUUGGUUUCAAAUGUAUGUAAAAUGAGGACACUUUUUAAUCAAAUUAAAUGCGCUGCUUAGACAAUGUAUUUUGGGAUAAUUGCUAGCAUGUUUUCCUUGCUUUCUUUCAUUAUACGAAAACAUGUUAAUUUACAGUACAUGGAGGGUUUGAAUGAUGGAGUGAUUUUAUUCUUUUACUUAAUGUGUCUACUACCCUAUCAGCCAUUUAGUUUACAUAUCCAAAAGGGUAAAUAGCUUAGCAACCACAUCCAGCAAGCAGCUAACAUUAAUCAGCAAGGGUAACUAUUCGAACUAGUUAGAGUUUGAUGCCACUUAACUUGACUCUGUCCUGCAAUGUGCAAUCACAGGGCCGUUUCCUUUAUUUUGGUUCGCAUUGCUCCUGCUCUCUUUGAAAUUUUCGAACAUUCCGCUCAGCCCAUAUAUGAUAAAACAGCAGCAGUAAACAUGCUCCCUUAGUUUGCCUCACCGUGACCUGUUUUUUUUUU